AUGACGGAAGACGUGUAUAAAACUAUCGGCUCCCCAAAAUACGACGACGGAAGAUGUUUGACGUUGAGUGGACUCGGACGGACCGAAGUUGUCCCGUUGGGAAAAGUGAUUCUGUCAAUGAAGAUAGACAAUGACUGUUUCAAAAAUGUGUUAUUUUAUGUAGUUAAUAAUAGUUGUUUGCCAUAUAGUGUCAUUUUAGGUCAGGAAUUUUUACAAAGAGUGUGGUUUUGUGGGUGACAGUCAAUUUAAGGAACAGUUGACUGAAUUAGUGGAAACUUACCAACCACUACAGGUGAAGGAGGCUCCCAUUGAACUCAAAAUAGUGCUUAAAGACGACAUCCCUGUUGCACAGCGCCCAAGACGAGUGUCUCUCAGAGAACAGCAGGUAGUGGAGGAUCAAGUUGAAGAAUGGCUGGCUAAGAACAUCAUUCGGCGCAAAAUAAAGAGCAGGCUUUGGAAAGAUUGAAGGAAGUGCUCAAAGUAGCUUCCGAGUACGGUCUGAAGUUCAAAUGGAGUAAAGCCAAGCUGAUGUGUCGGGAAGUUGAGUAUCUGGGGCACAUGAUCAGAGAUGGUGAGGUACGCCCGUCUCCAGAUAAGGUAGAUGCCGUGGUAAAGUAUCCUGAACCCAGCACACUUAAGCAGCUUCACAGUUUCAUAGGAUUAACAUCCUACUUUCGGAAAUACAUAGAAAACUAUGCAAUAAUUGCAAAGCCGUUGACAGAUUUGUUGAAGAAGAAUAGUAACUUCACAUUUGAUGAUGAACAUAGGAGAGCAUUUACUAUGUUGAAGGAGAAAAUGAACCGAUGGCGUGGUAUAAGCAUGUGAGCAGAGUGCAGAGAGCACUUAAUAGUACAUUCCAGCGUAGUAUUGGAACCACCCCGUUUGAAUUGUUGGUUGGAACCAGAAUGAAGAACAAGGAGGACUUUGAGCUCUAUGAUAUAUUGGCCGAAGAAACUCAAUGCUGUUUUAUGCAAUAAAGGGAUGAUCUGAGGAAAUCAGCUAAAGAAUGCAUACUAAAAAUACAAGAAGAAAAUAGGAGAACUUUUAACAGAAAGCGUAAGGAGAGCAUCAAAUAUAAAGCAGG